AUAUUUCAUUAUAAUUGUAACUUACCCAUUGUUUAAUUUUUUCCUUAAAUUUACCUUUGUAGCUUUUCUUCAAUAAAAAUUUAAGAGGCAUACUAACAUCCAAUAAAAGUAUAUAUUUAAUUAGUGAUAUUUUGUAGUGAAAUUUCAUUAUCUGUUUCUGUUAAAAGAAACUGCUCUCUUGUAUAAACCAUAUUAAUGUCAUGAUAAUUAUUGUAUUAAUCGGCUUCAAUCAUUGCAUGAGUAAUUCUGUUAAAUACAUAUCUAUUUUGAAAUUCCUUAAAUUCAUCGUAACUCCUAUGUUAAGUUGCACUUCUGAUUAAACUAAAAAGUAGAUUUUCAGAUGAUGCAAUACGCAGUUGUAGAGUUCGAUGAUUCGACAAUGGACAUUGUGGGGGUGAAUUGGCUAAUAGGUGAUGGCAGCACCACCUAUUGGCGAAAGAAAGGAACCUCUACGCACCAGAGGAGGAACAGCCCUCCAGGGCAAGAUUGGGCCAUGCAUAAAGUAAAUCGUAUACUGUAUCGAGCCAUGACCUUCUCCGAAGCACGGAGGAUGUUGGUCAAACUUAGAUACCUCUGAUGCCAUACCGAGUGAUGAAGGUGGCAGGGGGAUUAAACGAAAAUGUAUAGCGGCCGCUGCUGAGUCAUCUGAUGAUGAGCAGCCGAUUGGAGAGAGGAGGCGCA